rnacentral:rRNA from 1 species
UACGAAGGGGGCUAGCGUUGCUCGGAAUCACUGGGCGUAAAGCGCACGUAGGCGGCUUUUUAAGUCAGGGGUGAAAUCCUGGAGCUCAACUCCAGAACUGCCUUCGAUACUGCGGGUCUCGAGUCCGGGAGAGGUGAGUGGAAUUCCUAGUGUAGAGGUGAAAUUCGUAGAUAUUAGGAAGAACACCAGUGGCGAAGGCGGCUCACUGGCCCGGUACUGACGCUGAGGCGCGAAAGCGUGGGGAGCAAACAGG